rnacentral:rRNA from 1 species
CUUGCUUUCUCGAGCGAGUGGCGAACGGGUGAGUAACGCGUGAGGAACCUGCCUCAAAGAGGGGGACAACAGUUGGAAACGACUGCUAAUACCGCAUGACACAUUGGGGUCGCAUGGCCCCGAUGUCAAAGAUUUAUCGCUGUAAGAUGGGCUCGCGUAUGAUUAGAUAGUUGGUGAGGUAACGGCUCACCAAGUCGACGAUCAUUAGCCGGACUGAGAGGUUGAACGGCCACAUUGGGACUGAGAUACGGCCCAGACUCC